CAUUUACAAACACGUUUAAUUGGAAUCGCCAACGAAAAUAUUGUACCAUUCUAAAUUCUUCGCCUUUCAACAUAAGCAUCCUUAAAUGGAGGACAGUAGCACUCCAACUUCUUCUCCAAUCCUGUGAAAUCUGUCUGCAAAAGUGUGGACCUUACUGCUCGUGUAGUAGGCCUCCUUGCCGUCGUCUUCCCCUCCCUUCGCAGUCACUGUGGUACAGUCCACAUUCCGGCUCAGCGCCUGGCGAGUCCUCCGCUUGUACUGAGACGCCUGGGAUCUCAAAAUGGCGGCCCCGUGCGGAAACAGCGUCUGGGAGCAGUCAUGUUGCCUCCUGAACAAAGCCGCUGAAGAUGAAGAAUGGGCAAAAUCGCCCCAUACGGAACAGCGCAGCCUCGGGAGCCCGUUACCUGGCUCGCGAACACGAAGCGGGAGAGUUCGCCAAUAUGGAUGUGACAGCGGUUCCCAUUAAGCGGUGAUAGGAUUUUUGGGACCUGAUAAUCAAGCUAGGGGUCACAGACUACUCUCAAGUUGAAAACCUUCAGAAGUUUUCUCAAACCACUUGUCC
rnacentral:lncRNA from 1 species